UACGAAGGGGGCUAGCGUUGCUCGGAAUCACUGGGCGUAAAGGGUGCGUAGGCGGGUCUUUAAGUCAGGGGUGAAAUCCUGGAGCUCAACUCCAGAACUGCCUUUGAUACUGAAGAUCUUGAGUUCGGGAGAGGUGAGUGGAACUGCGAGUGUAGAGGUGAAAUUCGUAGAUAUUCGGAAGAACACCGAUGGCGAAGGCAGCCAUCUGGACCGACACUGACGCUGAGGCGCGAAAGCGUGGGGAGCAAACAGG
rnacentral:rRNA from 1 species